AACUAUAAACACAACCUUCAUUUACACUAUCAAAUAAAAAUCAGAAUUUUUAUUGAUGUGUCUUAUUCUUAUUGUCUACCCAUGAAUGGCCCUAAAUACCCACUCUAUUUCUCCUCUAAUUUUAGAUUGUCGUACUGUAUUUCCCCAAUAUCUUCGUCUUAUAGUCAGAAUAUGCAUAUACUUCCUUCACGAAAGUUGUAGAUCGUGAAAAGUUAUUGAAUUUAGACUCAAAAAUCAUCUGAUUCGGAGUUCGAAGCAGAGAGUUAGACCCUCUUCUAUUUGUUUGGUUAAGAACGCUAUGAUUUUAUGGAGGAUGAUUCUUGGAGAUUAAGAGAUGAUGAUACUUAAGGAGUAAGGAAAUGAAUUAGCGUAUAAGGUAUUAUGAAGAUAGCUCUGGAUCAGUUAUGUCAAGGAUGCUCCGAAAAGGUUGAGAUGAAGCGACUCUACAUAUAUUUGGGAUAUUUAGAAUAUUAUGUAUUAUGAGUUAUCAUUAUUACUCUAGUUGAGAGUUUGUAUAUUUUUGGAGACCAUUUUAAGGCUAUUAUUUUAUUUGUGGGCCCAUAACCCACAGCUUAAGUU